GGAUUCUCAAAACAAAAAAGUUGCCAAAAAAAUUAUAAAAUGAUGUGUAUUAAAUCCAGUGGUUCAUGACUCCACUCAUAACGCUUUGUAUUCAAAAUUAGCCUUAAUGUUAUACUGCACAGUGGAGCACUGCUUAUAGGCACAGGCCUUUGUGUUAUAAUGUUAGAAGGGCCUUUUAAAAUAAUUACAAAGUAUGUUUGCUUUCAGAUGCCAAGGAUUAAAAUUUUAUGAGCAAGACUAUCACCAUUAUUAUAAAGAGUAAUAGUUAUAUAAAAUAAGAAGUAAAUACAAAACUCAACUUCCAAAAAAUGCACUUCAAUCCCACAUAAAUUUAAAAGACUACACAUAUAUAGUCAUAUUAAUCAAGUUAAGCUUAAUUGCUAAAUCAAACAUGGAAACAAGACCAACGUUCUUGAAGUUACUACAGAAUUGCAACAUCACUGGUCCAAUAGAAUUAAAUAUAAACUGGGGAAAUUUACUGACCACAGAAACAUUAAUACAAUUAAUGAUUUAUUCACCUUCAACUAUUCAUGUUUUAAAUAGUUCUAAAAAAUUGUAGCUAAUAUACAUUAAAUGCAUGCUUGGGAGAUAAACAAGUAUAAUACAAAAAAAUAGAUUUUAAGAUGAAAAAAUAGCUUGAUGAUGAAAUUUAUUUUUUAAAAAACACUGAUGUAUGACAGAAAUCAUUUUUAGGGAAAUAUUGCUGAAAUGCUAAUCAUAAAUAUAAAUAAGUCUACCUCUAAUAUAAAAUUUACUGUUUUUUAUUUAAGCUCCUAGGAAUGUCUUGCUAUUUAUUAUCACUAUAUUUAUUAAAAUGUGCUGAGUUUAUUUCCAUUAACAUAAGAUAUAUUGUUUAUAACAGAAACUCAUUUAUAUCUAAUUCUGUUGGUUUCUGAAGUAGUUUAGGUUCUUAGUAAAGACCCUCAGGAGUAAUUGUCUGCAGCACAAGACUAUUAUGCCAUCUAGCAUGUUUAACAAGACACAUGACUAAAAUAUCAAUUAUGCCCCAAAUCAGUGCUGAGAUCAGUUAAAGAAAUCAGCUUAGCAACUUUCCCCAUAAUGCAUGUCUCCAGACAACACUCUAUCUAAGUAGCAAAUAUUUGCUGUAAUUUUUUGGUAUUUACAGAAUCCAAUAAGCAAUGGAUUCUUUGAUUCCAUUUUGUUUUCUGGAGUACAUAUAAAUUAGGAAAAUCAGCACUAAGAUGACACAUGGCCAGUCAUGAAUAAAAAUAACAAAAUUAGAUGCAGCAACACUUUCUAACAACUUAAAAAUCAACUUCGAAUGCAGCGAUUUUCUUUGCUUGUAUUUUCAAGGCCUCCAUCCACUCCUGCUUUCAACUGUUUUCUUUAGGACUUCAUUAUGUUCUUUGGGAGACUAUUUCACACUCUAUUAGUUACAGUCAAUUUCAUCGCAUCACUUGAAGUAUAAAUGCCCACAGUUCUCUGCACCUCUUAAAACUACAUCUCUUCCUUCUUGGUAUUUAAUAACCGGUAGCCUGGCCCUUGAAUUAGGGAAUAAUUUUACCCCUUCUGCCCAAAUAGUCUUAAGUGAGGAAAACUCUAUUUGUCAAUUUUAAAUUCUAUAUUGUAUGAAGAUAAGUUGCAUAUCUAUUUUAUAAAAGAAAAAAACGUCCAAAACUUAAUAAUAAGGAAAAUAAUAUGGAUCACGCAUCCUUUCAGUUUUAUAUAGAGGUAAAAGCUACACAAGGAUUGUCCAGGAGAAUGUACCUGGUUCAUUUUACUGUUAAAGGUCACAGAUUUAUUUACUUGUUAAUUUGCAGAAUUUGUCCAAUAAACGUGGAAACAAUUUGUCUGCUAGGACAGAUAACCCCCAAAAUUCAUAAACUACUGAAAAUUAAAGAGUUUUAUAUCCAACUCAGCAAUCUUAUACUAAAUUUUCUUUGAUAAAUUGACUACAAAUAACCUAACUUCUUAAGUGUUCUUUGAACCAGUCGUAACAUCUUACAGGUUUCUUUACUAAUAAAUGAGUUAAAUAAAAUAUUUGACACGUUUAUUUUAUAUUUGCCUGAAGGACUUGAUUUUGCUGCUUUUGAAAAUUAUAUUUUAACCUAUGCAAUAAUUAAAAUCCCUCCAGGUAAUAUGAGGAGUACGUUAAAGUCACAGAGCCUAUCCAUAAUCUUACUAAGAUAAUCAAACACUGAUCUAAAGCUAUAUUAUUAGCAUUGCAGUCGGAGGAGACUGAUUGAAUUUGCCUUUGAUAUAUAUCUUACUUUGUCUUAGUCAUUGUCUUUCAAGUACUUUACAGUUGGCAAUAUGAUAGAUGAAUGAGUUUUAAAAAUCUGUUAUUUCAGUAAAAUAAUAGAGUGUAGCAUCAUUAAAUGCAUUUACAGUCCUAAGACCUCAUAAAAAAUGAUUUUACACAAUAAUCUAGGUAUAUUUUAUUUAAAAGUGUAUCACAUACCAAUACCAACAUACAUGUUAUUUAAUAAAAUUCUUAAAUGCUAUAUUCAAGAAUUUGUUAAAUACCAUAUCCUCAGACAUUUACAAUGAUACCUAUCCAGCCAGUUGUAACUUUUUAUUAAGAAAAUUAUAUUGCUUCUCACUUCUAAAAAAAGAUGUUUCUAAUACAGCAUCAACAUAUGGGUUGUUAAACACUACCUUGAUUGUAUGUCAUUAUAUUUAUCUGUUCAAAAAUGUUAUUUUUGCAGUAAAAAACAUAGAAAUGUAGAAAAAUAUAAAGCAUGUAUUAGCAGGUGAAAUGAGCUCGAGUGAAAUAUGAGGCAACACAAUAUGGGACUGUACAAACUAUAUUAAGUUCAUAAUUAUUUCUAAUACUUGCCACAAAAAUAGCAAAUAUAAAUAUCACCUAUAGAAGCAAACAUGAACAAUUGAAAGAAGUUGAAUAGUACCAUUUACUUUGAACUCAUCAAAGUAAAAUUUAAAAUCUCCAUUCAUAUCAUUAGUAUUUAUACCCAUAUAUAACUUAUUUUACUUAGAAAUAGUUGCUUUAGGUGUUCAUAGUUUAUUCAUAUAUUUGUGAUGACCUAAAUGUUGUCUUUAGGCUCCUUAAAUAAACUUAUGUUCAUUUGGGUUAUUUGAGAUAGAACAUUUCUAAAAAAUAUCAUCUGCUUGAUUUUUGCCUGGGUACUGCUUCAGAGAAAUCAUUUCCAGGUGCUUAAUAUAAAAAAUACUAAAUAAUAUUAUCAUAAUUCCAUUUCAGAUAUAGAUGGAUCAGAGUAAAUAAAAGUUAUUUCCUUCAUCUACUUUCCCAAUAUAAACUAGAUAGCCAAACUCACCAGAAUGAGGCUUAAAAUUAAUGAAGCUUUUAGAAAUAAGGCUGCAAAGAAGGCUCUCAACUCACUUUUAAAUCUCCAGGUAUAUUGUAUUCCUGUGGUUAAAUGUCUAGCAAGCUGAUUUAAUUGCAUUCUAAGCCUUAAAUUAUCUGUGUAGGUAAUUGAGUAAAGAAAUUAUUAUAUUCUCCAAGUGACGUAAAUGCAGCUAAACAAAACGUUUUCCAGGAAUGCUUAAAAUUUUUCUUUCUUCAAUGUGCUACAAAUAUCUGUGAUACCAUGACUUGGCUGAUGGUAGUAGAUAUCAGCAAUAGGAUUAAUUUUUUUAAGGUGUGGUUGUAAAAAUAGAUACAGAGAAAUCAAAGUUUGUCUGAAUUGAAAAUUGUAUAAAACAAGGAAAGGACUAGAGCUUCAGAGUUUAUGAGCAGGCUAUGGGCUAUAUUACUCAACUUUUCAUUCCUUGAUAAGCUUUAUUUUUCAUAUUUUUCAGUGAACAGUAUCAUAUACACAGAAUAUGUUCAAUUCAUAUGUGCAGAGUUCAAAUAGUUAUCACAAAAUAAGUAUACAAAGAUGAUUAGCACCAAAUUCAAGAAAAAUAGCUAGUAUUGCAACCACACCAGAAGCCUCUCUCAUGCUCUUUUAUAAUAGCGACCCUUCCUUUAUCACCAAAGGUAUUUUCUCUGUGAAUUAUAAUAGCCAUGAUUAAUUUUUCCUACUUUGGAACUUUAAAUCAAUGAAGCAUAAAUAUACAUUUUUGUCUGGUUUCUUUCACUCAAUAUAUGUUUGCAGAAUUGAUUUAUGCUACUGAUUUACCAGCAGUUAUUUCAUAUUUCUUGUUAUUUUGGAGGUUUUCACUUUGGGGCUAGUGAAAAUAAUGCUGCUCUUAGCAAACAUAGACAAACAAGAACAUAUCAAACUCAAAAACUUCUGUACAUCAAAAUAAACAGUCAACAGAGUAAAAAGGCAACCUGCAAAGAAAAAAUAUUUGCUAAUCAUAUCUGAUAACAGAUUAGUAUCCAGAAUUUAUAAGGAACUUCUGCAACUCAGGAACAACAGAAGUAAAGUUGAUUAAAAAUGAGCAAAGAAUGUGAAUAGGCAAUAUCCAAAAGAUAUACAAAUAGUUAAUAAACAUAAAGAUGUUUAACAUUACUAAUGGUGGGAGAAACACAAAUCAAAACAACAAUGAGAUUAUAAUGUCACAUCUAUCAGGAUGGCCGCUAUCAACAACAACAAAAAAGAAAAUAAGUGUUGGCAAGCAUGUGGAGAAGUUGAAACCCUUGUGCACUAUUGGUGGGAAUGGAAAAUGGUUUUGUCACUAUAAAAAAUAGUAUAGAAAUUCCAUGCGAUCUGGCAAUACCACUUCUGGGUAUUUACCAAAAGAAUUCAAAGCAGGAUCUCCAAGAUAUAAUUGCACACCCAUAUUCAUAGAGUCAUUAUUUACAAUGGGCAAGAGGUGGAAGGAAAUCAAAUGUCCAUCAACAGAUGAAUAGACAAAGAAAAUGUGAUAUAUUCACACAAUAGAUUAUUUGGCCUUCUAAAGAAAAGAAAUCCUAUCACAUGCCACAACAGGACCAAACUUAAGCACAUUAUGCUAAGCAAAUUAAGCUAGUCACAAAAUGACAAAUACUAUAUGGUUCUACUCCUACAAAGUAUUUGAAUUAGUCAAAAGCAUAGAAAUAGAAAGCAGAAAGGUAGUUGCCAAGGCUGGGGGAGGGACAUAUGGAAGAGAGGAAGUUAGUGUUACGUAUAGAGUUUCAGAUGAAAAAUUUCUAGAGAUCAGUUGUUCAACAAUGUAAAUAUAGCUCCUACUUUUAAUUAUACAUUUAAAAAUGGUUAUCAUGGUAAAUUUAAUGCUAUGUUAUUUCACCACAAUAAAAAUGUAGAAAAAAUAAUGCUUCUCUGACAUUUUUGUGCAUGUCCUUUGGUGCACAUAUGUACACGUUUGUUGGGAAUAUACUUUGGAAUGGAAUCCUUAGGUUAUAGAGUGUAUGUGUGUUAAGCUUUAGAAGACACUGUGUAGUAGUUUUCAAAAAAGAGUUAACAAUUUAUUGUCUCAUCAGAAAUAGGAUUGUUCUACAUCACUGCGAGCACUUGGUAUUAUUCGUAUUUUUAAUUUCAGUCAUUAUGGUUGAUUGCAGGCUGUUGUAAUAAGAUUUCAUUUAUUUGUUGUGGAAUGAGGCUGAGCACCUUCUAAUAUAUUUAUUGGCCAUUUGGAGAUCCUCUUGUGUGAAGAGCUUGCUCAGUUCUCUCAUAUAUUUUUCUAUUGGACCAUCUGUCUCAUUUUUAUUCGUUUGGAGGAGAUCUUUAUGUAUAUUGAACAUGAAACUUUUAAACAUUAUAUAUAUUACAAAUAUAUUCACCUACUCAAAGAUUUGACUUUUCCCUCUCUUAAUAAUAGUGUCUUUUGAUAAAUUAGAAUUCUUAAUUUUAAUGAAAGCAUUACUAAUAUUUUUGUUAGUACUGUUUAUGUCCUAUAUUAUAAUCUUUCAUUAAAAAUUAUGUUAUUACCUUUAAGAAGCCUUAUUAUUUAUCAUUUAUAUUUAGACACAGAAUUAACCUGGAAUUGAAAUUUAUCUAGGGUGUCAAGUACUGAUUGAUGAUUUUCCUCUGUUUUUGUAUGUACAUUAGACCCAGCAUUAUUCACUGAGAAAAACCACUCUUGUCUUACUAUUUGCAGCUACAUCUUUAUUAUAAAUUAACAGUCAUUGUACAUGUGUACACCUAUUCCUGUAGUCUAUUAGACUAUUUGUCUGUCAUUAGAUUAUUUGUCUGUCAUUGUGCCAAUUAUCAUUUAGUAAAAAUAAAUGUUGGUAUUCAAAUUUGUCCUAUUUUAAGGUGAUCCUAUUUUUAGCUUUUAAAUUUUUAAUAUAAAUUUAGUCAUAUAAAUUUACAUAAACAUAACUGAUAGGAUGUUGGUUGAUAUUACACACAACCUUUAUGUUUUCUACCAAAUCAGUCUGUAGCAGAGAACACUAAACACUUAAUUUAUUGAAAAGGGGCCCAAAAUUAAGGGAGAAUAUAUUGUCAUUCUCAUACCUUAUUCAAAAGAUGAGUUUCAAUAAUAGGCAGUAAGUUUCAAAAAGAGAUAACACCUCAGAACCUUUGGAUCCCUUACUCUCUGGUAAUAAUAAAUAUUCAUGCCUAUCACCUUGAUUUGUUCCAUACCUCUCCUUAGGGAACAAGAAUACUUGGACACAAUUCAAAGAACACCAUCAGAUACCUGAGGUCUAGCUUCUGGUCCCAAAUCUGUCAUUCAGAAGUGUGUAACUUGACAAUUUGUUGAAUCUCACUGGAUUUUAUUUCUGUCAAGAGUAAAAUUAACCAGAUAAGAAUUAUGCUGAGACAUAGCAGUACCUCAAAAAGUGGUGGAGGUAAUAAGCUGCAAAGUUGGAACUUGAAUCCCGGACCUCAAGCUCCAAAUCCAGAAUUCCUCACUUUCCCCCCGCUACCUGAUACAGAACUGGAGAAAAAUAAAUUUGAUUUAAUUAAGUGUAGCAGAUCCCAGGAACUAUUUUAUGUUUAAUGAUUACUUUCAAGCUUAAUUUGCCUCUAUUUAAGUGUAACUAACACAUAAUCUUUAGGAUAAACAUCUCGGAAUUCUUUCUGAAUUAUCCCCAAAUUUUAAGUUUAGGUGUGCAUUUGACAAUCUGCAUUGCUGCCAACAGUAGUUGGAAGAUUACUACCUGAAAGCUGAGGAAGUUUGCUUCAGCUACUACAUGCCCUUCCUUGUGGUAAAUGUGCAAGUCACGGCACAAUAAUUGAGGAAAUAAAUGUUGGUGCCUUAAAAUAAAUGUUGAUAUUCAAAUUUGUCCUAUUUUACCCUGGUAAAUGUGUAAGUCAUGGCACAAUACUUGAGGAACUUGAGCAGAUAAGUUUGGAGUAAAUAACCUGUGUUAUAAAAUGCACAACACUCAAAAUAAAAUGAAACACUACAACUA
rnacentral:lncRNA from 1 species